AGUGAACGUUGGCGGCGUGGAUUAGGCAUGCGAGUCGAGCGAGAACCGUAGCAAUACGGGGACAGCGGCGAAAGGGACAGUAAUAUGUAGGUACCUACCCUCGGGUCCGGGAUAGCUGCGGGAAACUGCAGGUAAUACCGGAUGACAUCUCCGGAUCAAAGGUGUGAUUCCGCCCGGGGAGGGGCCUGCAUCCUAUUAGCUAGUUGGCGGGGUAACGGCCCACCAAGGCGACGAUGGGUAGCGGGUGUGAGAGCACGACCCGCGUCAUUGGGACUGAGACACUGCCCAGACACCUACGGGUGGCUGCAGUCGAGAAUCUUCGGCAAUGGGGGAAACCCUGGCCGAGCGACGCCGCGUGCGGGAUGAAGGCCUUCGGGUUGUAAACCGCUGUCGUAGAGGAGGAAAUGCAGUGGGGUUCUCCCCUCUGUUUGACCUAGUCUAGGAGGAAGGACGGGCUAAGUUCGUGCCAGCCGCCGCAGUAACAC
rnacentral:rRNA from 1 species